rnacentral:rRNA from 1 species
AACGAACGCUGGCGGCAGGCCUAACACAUGCAAGUCGAGCGCGCCUUCGGGUGAGCGGCGGACGGGUGCGUAGCGCGUGGGGAUAUGCACUUCUCUACGGAAUAGUCCUGGGACACUGGGGGUAAUACCGAAUACGCCCUAUGGGGGAAAGAUUUAUCGGGGAAGGUUUAGCCCGCGUUGGAUUAGGUGGUUGGUGGGGUAAUGGCCUGCCAAGCCGACGAUUCAUAGCUGGUUUGAGAGGAGGACCCGCCGCACUGGGGCUGAGACCCGGCCCCGACCCCUACGCGAGGCAGCAGUGUGGAACCCUAUGCAAGGGGGGCAACCCUGGUCAAGCCACGCCGCGGGAGUCAUCAAUCCCUUAGUGUUCCAAAGCCCGCUCAGCUGAGAAGAUAGUGACGGUACCAGCAGAAGAAGCCCCGGCUAACUCCGUG